UUUUCGGCGUCGUAUUCAAAAAAGUACCCCAAAAAUGGCGAAUUUGGCUUUCGUAAGAAAGGCUAAUUACAACUCCUCCCCAUGCAAUCUCAUCAAUUUUUAUCAAGUUUGAUGAGAGUUAUUAAUUGACCGCGGUAAUAUCUAGUGUAGUACACGGCAAAAAACGCCGAGCCCGCUGCUCAACAGGAUUGAACAAUGUUUUGCUGCCCACGUUGUUCACAGUUGUCAACAAUAUUGAACAACAUUGUUGAGCCUGAAUCGGGUGUAACAACAUUGUUCAAUAUUGUUGACAACUGUGAACAAUGUGGGCAGCAAAGCAUUGUUCAAUCCUGUUUUCAUCAAUAUUGCAUCAACCUGAGCGUUUUUUUUCGUGAGACCACAGAGACUACCGAACUCAGCCGCAUGAUUUUGAAAACGGCUGUGGUUUCGCCACAUACCUGUCGGCACGGACCCGUCAUGCAAAUCAAACUUAUAUUUGUAUUUAGAUAGACAUUUCUCAAUCAUAAAGUAUGUAACGAAAAUUUUUUUCCCCAAGCAUUGAAUAAAUUAUUUUCGCUCACGU